rnacentral:rRNA from 1 species
UUAAGCGACUAAGCGUACACGGUGGAUGCCCUGGCAGUCAGAGGCGAUGAAGGACGUGCUAAUCUGCGAUAAGCGUCGGUAAGGUGAUAUGAACCGUUAUAACCGGCGAUUUCCGAAUGGGGAAACCCAGUGCAAUUCGUUGCACUAUCAUUACGUGAAUACAUAGCGUAAUGAAGCGAACCGGGGGAACUGAAACAUCUAAGUACCCCGAGGAAAAGAAAUCAACCGAGAUUCCCCAGUAGCGGCGAGCGAACGGGGAGCAGCCCAGAGUCUGAAUCAGCUUGUGUGUUAGUGGAACGGUCUGGAAAGUCCGACGGUACAGGGUGAUAGUCCCGUACACCAAAACACACAGGUUGUGAACUCGAAGAGUAGGGCGGGACACGUGGUAUCCUGUCUGAAUAUGGGGGGACCAUCCUCCAAGGCUAAAUACUCCUGACUGACCGAUAGUGAACCAGUACCGUGAGGGAAAGGCGAAAAGAACCCCGGCGAGGGGAGUGAAAAAGAACCUGAAACCGUGUACGUACAAGCAGUGGGAGCCUCUUUAUGGGGUGACUGCGUACCUUUUGUAUAAUGGGUCAGCGACUUAUAUUCUGUAGCAAGGUUAACCGAAUAGGGGAGCCGAAGGGAAACCGAGUCUUAACUGGGCGUUAAGUUGCAGGGUAUAGACCCGAAACCCGGUGAUCUAGCCAUGGGCAGGUUGAAGGUUGGGUAACACUAACUGGAGGACCGAACCGACUAAUGUUGAAAAAUUAGCGGAUGACUUGUGGCUGGGGGUGAAAGGCCAAUCAAACCGGGAGAUAGCUGGUUCUCCCCGAAAGCUAUUUAGGUAGCGCCUCGUGAACUCAUCUUCGGGGGUAGAGCACUGUUUCGGCUAGGGGGUCAUCCCGACUUACCAACCCGAUGCAAACUGCGAAUACCGAAGAAUGUUAUCACGGGAGACACACGGCGGGUGCUAACGUCCGUCGUGAAGAGGGAAACAACCCAGACCGCCAGCUAAGGUCCCAAAGUCAUGGUUAAGUGGGAAACGAUGUGGGAAGGCACAGACAGCCAGGAUGUUGGCUUAGAAGCAGCCAUCAUUUAAAGAAAGCGUAAUAGCUCACUGGUCGAGUCGGCCUGCGCGGAAGAUGUAACGGGGCUAAACCAUGCACCGAAGCUGCGGCAGCGACACUAUGUGUUGUUGGGUAGGGGAGCGUUCUGUAAGCCGUUGAAGGUGUGCUGUGAGGCAUGCUGGAGGUAUCAGAAGUGCGAAUGCUGACAUAAGUAACGAUAAUGCGGGUGAAAAACCCGCACGCCGGAAGACCAAGGGUUCCUGUCCAACGUUAAUCGGGGCAGGGUGAGUCGACCCCUAAGGCGAGGCCGAAAGGCGUAGUCGAUGGGAAACAGGUUAAUAUUCCUGUACUUGGUGUUACUGCGAAGGGGGGACGGAGAAGGCUAUGUUGGCCGGGCGACGGUUGUCCCGGUUUAAGCGUGUAGGUGUGUGUUCCAGGUAAAUCCGGAAUGCUUUAACACUGAGGCGUGAUGACGAGGCACCACGGUGCUGAAGUGACAAAUGCCCUGCUUCCAGGAAAGCCUCUAAGCAUCAGGUAACACGAAAUCGUACCCCAAACCGACACAGGUGGUCAGGUAGAGAAUACCAAGGCGCUUGAGAGAACUCGGGUGAAGGAACUAGGCAAAAUGGUGCCGUAACUUCGGGAGAAGGCACGCUGAUAUGUAGGUGAAGUGAUUUACUCAUGGAGCUGAAAUCAGUCGAAGAUACCAGCUGGCUGCAACUGUUUAUUAAAAACACAGCACUGUGCAAACACGAAAGUGGACGUAUACGGUGUGACGCCUGCCCGGUGCCGGAAGGUUAAUUGAUGGGGUUAUCCGUAAGGAGAAGCUCUUGAUCGAAGCCCCGGUAAACGGCGGCCGUAACUAUAACGGUCCUAAGGUAGCGAAAUUCCUUGUCGGGUAAGUUCCGACCUGCACGAAUGGCGUAAUGAUGGCCAGGCUGUCUCCACCCGAGACUCAGUGAAAUUGAACUCGCUGUGAAGAUGCAGUGUACCCGCGGCAAGACGGAAAGACCCCGUGAACCUUUACUAUAGCUUGACACUGAACACUGGUCUUGAUGUGUAGGAUAGGUGGGAGGCUUUGAAGUGUGGACGCCAGUCUGCAUGGAGCCGACCUUGAAAUACCACCCUUUAAUGGCUGGUGUUCUAACGUGGGCCCGUGAUCCGGGUUGCGGACAGUGUCUGGUGGGUAGUUUGACUGGGGCGGUCUCCUCCAAAGAGUAACGGAGGAGCACGAAGGUUAGCUAAUCCUGGUCGGACAUCAGGAGGUUAGUGCAAAGGCAUAAGCUAGCUUGACUGCGAGAGUGACGGCUCGAGCAGGUGCGAAAGCAGGUCUUAGUGAUCCGGUGGUUCUGAAUGGAAGGGCCAUCGCUCAACGGAUAAAGGUACUCCGGGGAUAACAGGCUGAUACCGCCAAGAGUUAUAUCGACGGCGGUGUUUGGCACCUCGAUGUCGGCUCAUCACAUCUGGGGCUGAAGUAGGUCCAAGGGUAUGGCUGUUCGCCAUUUAAAGUGGUACGCGAGCUGGUUUAGAACGUCGUGAGACAGUUCGGUCCCUAUCUGCCGUGGGCGCUGGAGAAUUGAGGGGGGCUGCUCCUAGUAGAGAGGACGGAGUGGACGCAUCACUGGUGUUCGGGUUGUCAUGCCAAUGGCACUGCCCGGUAGCUAAAUGCGGAAGAGAUAAGUGCUGAAGCAUCUAAGCACGAAACUUGCCCCGAGAUGAGUUCUCCCUGACCCUUUAAGGGUCCUGAAGGAACGUUGAAGACGACGACGUUGAUAGGCCGGGUGUGUAAGCGCAGCGAUGCGUUGAGCUAACCGGUACUAAUGAACCGUGAGGCUUAACCUU